rnacentral:lncRNA from 1 species
UCUCACUCAGCCAUGACACCCAGGAGACAGGGCCUUCAAGCUUGAUUCUGUAUUCCCCUUCCCCUGAUACGAUCACAUGUAAUAGAUGCAUGUGAAGCUAUGGGAAGAAAUGAGGUGGUUGAGAACAAGAGUGAAUGGUGAGAAGGAACCAGGACUGACCCCUGUAGGACACUAACAGUCAGAGGCCAGAGACAGGAGGCACAGUCAGCAAGGGAAGCCAAGAAGAAGUGAUGAAAGAAGUAGACAGAAAAUCAGGAGAACAGGACUCAGAAGUCAAGAGACAAAAGUGCUUCAGCCUGGAGGGGGAGGCCAGCAGGAUCAAAUGCUGCUGAGAGAAUUCACAUAUGAAGCUGACUAAAAGAUACACAAUGGACUUGGCAACAGAAAGAUCAUUGGUGACUUUAGCAAACUUCCGUGUCCAUGAUCAGCUCUGUUCUCCUGGAAACCUGAUAAAGGUGGAACGUUGGCUGUGUUACCAAGCAACAAUGCUUGUGGUAAAAAUGAUCCACUUCAUCUGGACAGCGAGGGCCGUGAAUGAAUCAUAAGUACCUGGUGGGAAGCUGUGGCUCUGGAGUUCUGAAUCUUGACUCUUGGAGCUCGGCACGCCCCUUGAGGAGACAAGGAAGCUAUUCCCAUGAGACUCUUACUAGAAAUAUCAGUUUCUCAUUGGAAUAAGGCUUUAAUUUGCUAUGUAUGUGACAUUUCAGUUUACCUGGGUAUCCUGUAUUUUAUCUGGCAACCCUACUUGAGGAAAAGGAGCUAGAGAGACACCUGCCAUCAUGCAGUUGGAGUGCUGUUUCAUGCCUUUGCAUCCUUAUUCUAAAUUAAGUUAGACCAGGCACGGUGGCUCACGCCUAUAAUCCCAGCAUUUUGGGAGGCUGAGGCGGGUAGAUCACCUGAGAUCAGGAGUUCGAGAUCAGCCUGGCCAACAUGAUGAAACCCUGUCUCUACUAAAAAUACAAAAAAUCAGCCGGGUGUGGUGGCGGACUCCUGUAAUCCCAGAUGUUCGGGAGGCUGAGGCAAGAGAAUCUCUCAAAUACGGGAGGUGAAGUUUGCAGUGAGCCGAGAUUCACCAUUGCACUCCAGCCUGGGCAACAAGAACAAAACUCCAUCUCAAAAUAAAUAGUUAGUGCCAAGCAUGUCAUGCUGUAGUCAUGCGAGUCUAAGUGUCUAACAGACCCUGAGAAGAACUCCAAAGUGGGCAUCGUAACCUAGCAACAGUGACCAUCCUAGGAAGAAUAGCACCCCAGGAACCCAGAUUAUGUUCUAUGAAGAGUUCAGGUUGAGAGAGAAUUUAAAUUCUGCUCAAAGGAGGAAACAUACCGGCCAUCUUGAGAUGCCCAGGUGCCUCUGUUCUCCAUUGUUCUCUCCUUUAGGAGCAGAAAAGCAGCAAGCCAAGCAUGCUGGGUUCCCAGAAGACCAACACUGUGAGUCUAGAGGCAAAGGCAGCCUUUCUGCCGCUGCAUAUCCAGGGCUCCUGGGGACUGCUUAGCGCUCUACCUCACUGCAAGCAACAGCCUAGGGUGCAUUACCUAUCCCACACAAAAAGAGAGCCAGAGUUACUUAGAAUUUGUUUGAGAGCUGCUUCUCAUCUCUGCAGCUCCCAGCAGCAGGUUGUGUUGGGAGAGCAGGGCUGUGUCUGAGUGCCCCUCAUCAGGCAGCACAGAUGCCUGGCAUGUCCCAGGCUGUGGCCCAGACUGUGUCAGGUAACCAGGCUGUAUUCAGCCUAUGGGGUACUCCCUCCCUCCCUCACUACAUUGCUUUUUACUAUCUUUUGGCCCCUUUUAAAAAUCCAGCUCACCACACCUCCCACCUCCUGGUGGAGCCAGCUGUGAGCCUCGGCAGAAGGGUCUUGGUAGUUGCAGGCCUCCCAGGACAAUUGCCAACCUUGAGGGUUUGCUCAGUUACUGGAAAGCAGCUUUAAAAAUAUAAAUAGCUGUGGUAAAGACUGCACUUGUGAGAGUUGUCAAACCACAGAAUACCCAACUUCUCCCUCCUGACAACUGAUUUCCUUUUUUUUUUUUUUUUUGAGAUUGGGUCUCACCAUGUCCCCCAGGCCAGAGUGCAAUGGCGCAGUCUCUGCUCACUGCAACCUCUGCCUCCCAGGUUCAAGCAAUUCUCCCGCCUUAGCCUCCUGAGUAGCUGGGAUUACAGGCACCUGCCAUCAUGCCCAGCUACUUUUUCUAUUUUUGUAGAGACAGUGUUUCACCAUGUUGGCCAGGCUGGUCUUGAACUCCUGACCUCAGGUGGUCUGCCCACCUCAGCCUCCCAAAGUGCUGGGAUUAUAGGUGUGAGCCACCACACCCAGCCCUGACAACUGAUUCUGAGAAAUGCUCUUCUCCCCUUGAAUAGCUGGUCUAUCUCCACUGGGGAAAACUCCAGUUUCUAAAGGUACCUGAAUGACACAAUCCUGUGAGUGGGUGAUAGCCCUCCUCUCUCUUUAUCUGACCUGAUUUUUCAGUAGGAAACCAACUUCUUAGCCAGAUGGGGUCUGUUCUGAAUGUGUAAUUGGUGCUAAAUACAUAUCUUUUAAAUCAAAUUUACUCUUGCUCUAGCUGCUUGAUUUUUUGGGGCAAUGGAAACAUAUAAUUACAAUCAUGCUGAACUGCAUUUGUUUUUAGAAAGCUUCAAUGUUUGAUUUUUAGAAUAAAAUAAGCUUUAUUUUUUACUCAUUCUUUUGCUCUCUGUUAAAACCUUCAUUCCAGGAUGAUCUACCUCGGGAGCACAGAUUACAGGGUGAUUAUUAUUUUGGUUCAACAUAUAUAACAAGGAAGUAGCACACAUGGAUACAACUGUGCUUUAGAGACAACCUCUGCCAGACCUCUUGGGUCUUUUUCUCUCCUGCCGCUUUAACAGAUGCCUCCCCUUGUUGUCCAAAUACUAUAAAACUCUGAGCUUGUAAAGAGAAAACGUGGCAUUGAGUGUGGUGAGGUUUCAGGUGUUCUUUCAUUGCCAUGACGCUGAUAUUUUCUUGUUCUCCCCAAGCUCCUCUGGUAUCUUCAUUUGCUUCCCUUCAAGAAAAGCUCUUCUUGGUUUUCCUAAUCCCUUUCUACAGAUAUUCUGAAGACACCAAGAAGAUAUUCAGUUUUUCCCCACUCAGAGAUGACAUGAUUGCAGACAUGACAUCCAUGAGCUCAAAGCUCUCAUCUCCAAAUAAACAUUGAAUUCAGCCAAACAUUGGUCAAGCACCUACUGCCAGCAGACAUGUAUGUUA